rnacentral:rRNA from 1 species
AGAGUUUGAUCCUGGCUCAGAUUGAACGCUGGCGGUAUGCUUAACACAUGCAAGUCGAACGGAAACGAAACUAGCUUGCUAGUAGGCGUCGAGUGGCGGACGGGUGAGUAACGCGUAGGAAUCUGCCUGAUAGUGGGGGAUAGCCCGAAGAAAUUCGGAUUAAUACCGCAUAAUCUAUUCGUAGUAAAGUGGGGGACUUUCGAGCCUCACGCUAUCAGAUGAGCCUGCGUAAGAUUAGCUUGUUGGUAGGGUAAAAGCCUACCAAGGCAACGAUCUUUAGCUGGUCUGAGAGGAUGAUCAGCCACAUCGGGACUGAGACACGGCCCGAACUCCUACGGGAGGCAGCAGUGGGGAAUAUUGGACAAUGGGGGCAACCCUGAUCCAGCAAUACCGCGUGUGUGAAGAAGGCCUGAGGGUUGUAAAGCACUUUCAAUUGUGAAGAAAAGUUAACGGUUAAUAACCGUUGACCUUGACGUUAACUUUAGAAGAAGCACCGGCUAACUCCGUGCCAGCAGCCGCGGUAAUACGGAGGGUGCAAGCGUUAAUCGGAAUUACUGGGCGUAAAGCGUGCGUAGGCGGUUUAUUAAGUCAGAUGUGAAAGCCCCGGGCUUAACCUGGGAACUGCAUUUGAAACUGGUCAACUAGAGUAUGGUAGAGGAAAGUGGAAUUUCUGGUGUAGCGGUGAAAUGCGUAGAUAUCAGAAGGAACAUCAAUGGCGAAGGCAGCUUUCUGGACCAAUACUGACGCUGAGGUACGAAAGCGUGGGUAGCAAACAGGAUUAGAUACCCUGGUAGUCCACGCCGUAAACGAUGAUAACUAGCCGUUGGGGGGAUUUACCCCUUAGUGGCGAAGCUAACGCGUUAAGUUAUCCGCCUGGGGAGUACGGCCGCAAGGCUAAAACUCAAAGGAAUUGACGGGGACCCGCACAAGCGGUGGAGCAUGUGGUUUAAUUCGAUGCAACGCGAAGAACCUUACCUGGUCUUGACAUCCUCGGACCGCUUCAGAGAUGAAGUUUCCUCUUCGGAGGCCGAGUGACAGGUGCUGCAUGGCUGUCGUCAGCUCGUGUCGUGAGAUGUUGGGUUAAGUCCCGCAACGAGCGCAACCCCUACCCUUAAUUGCCAUCGGGUUAUGCCGGGCACUUUAGGGGGACUGCCGGUGACAAGCCGGAGGAGGGUGGGGAUGACGUCAAGUCCUCAUGGCCUUUAUGACCAGGGCUACACACGUGUUACAAUGGGAGUUACAGAGGGAAGCUAAGCCGCGAGGCCAUGCCAAUCCCAGAAAAACUUUCUCAGUUCGGAUCGCAGUCUGCAACUCGACUGCGUGAAGCUGGAAUCGCUAGUAAUCGCGGAUCAGCACGCCGCGGUGAAUACGUUCCCGGGCCUUGUACACACCGCCCGUCACACCAUGGGAGCCGACAAGGGCAGAAGUCGCCGAGCUAACCUUCGGGAAGCAGGCGCCCAAGCUGUUGUUGACGACUGGGGUGAAGUCGUAACAAGGUAACC